AAACCUAAUAAGGAAGCUGAUAUAAGGAGUGCAGUUACAGCAUUGAUUAUUCAGGUUGUGUUGAAUGAAAAAUCCACGGCAAAUUGCUUAGUUUUCAAGAUCUGCUGCGAAGAUGACUCUUUUGAUGAUGAAAUAGCAAACACCACCUACCCACGACUAAUUGGAUCGGGAGAAUUAGGGAGUCUGGAC